rnacentral:rRNA from 1 species
GAUGAACGCUGGCGGCGUGCCUAAUAUAUGCAAGUCGAGCGAACGGACGAGAAGCUUGCUUCUCUGAUGUUAGCGGCGGACGGGUGAGUAACACGUGGAUAACCUACCUAUAAGACUGGGAUAACUUCGGGAAACCGGAGCUAAUACCGGAUAAUAUUUUGAACCGCAUGGUUCAAAAGUGAAAGACGGUCUUGCUGUCACUUAUAGAUGGAUCCGCGCUGCAUUAGCUAGUUGGUAAGGUAACGGCUUACCAAGGCAACGAUGCAUAGCCGACCUGAGAGGGUGAUCGGCCACACUGGAACUGAGACGCGGUCCAGACUCCUACGGGAGGCAGCAGUAGGGAAUCUUCCGCAAUGGGCGAAAGCCUGACGGAGCAACGCCGCGUGAGUGAUGAAGGUCUUCGGAUCGUAAAACUCUGUUAUUAGGGAAGAACAUAUGUGUAAGUAACUGUGCACAUCUUGACGGUACCUAAUCAGAAAGCCACGGCUAACUACGUG